rnacentral:tRNA from 3 species
UCCUGAAUAGCUCAGUUGGUUAGAGCAUCUGACUGUUAAUCAGAGGGUCCCAGGUUCAAGUCCUGGUUCAGGAGCAA